CUUACGGUCCACAUGGCUGAGGAGGCCUCACAAUCAUGGCUGAAGAGUUGUGCUCUCCCGCAGCCUUUUGGGGAUGGCUGGCUUCCAUACCCAGAAUCCAUCACACCGCGACACUGAAAAAACAAAAAUAAACAGGAAAGUUGGAGUUCAAUGGCACGAUCUCGGCUCACCGCAACCUCCACCU